rnacentral:rRNA from 1 species
UACGUAGGGGGCAAGCGUUGUCCGGAUUUAUUGGGCGUAAAGAGCGUGUAGGCGGCCAGAUAGGUCGGUUGUGAAAACUGGAGGCUUAACCUCCAGACGUCGACCGAAACCAUUUGGCUAGAGUCCGGAAGAGGAGAGUGGAAUUCCCGGUGUAGCGGUGAAAUGCGUAGAUAUCGGAAGGAACACCUGUGGCGAAAGCGGCUCACUGGACCAUAACUGACGCUGAGGCGCGAAAGCUAGGGGAGCAAACAGG